rnacentral:tRNA from 1 species
GCACCCAUAGUAUAAUGGAUAGUACAGCGGUUUCCGGAACCGUAGGUCUAGGUUCGAUUCCUAGUGGGUGUA